rnacentral:misc_RNA from 1 species
GUGAAUCAUCGAAUCUUUGAACGCAACUUGCACUUUCUGGUAUUCCGGAGAGUAUGCCUGUUUGAGGGUCAGUUAACUAACAACCGGUAUUGUUGCUGCAUUUCGUGGUGAUGCGACGGAGUUGAGUUGUCUUACAUUCGGUUCAGCGCAUUAAAAUUUUGCAUGAUUCUCGCACGUAUUUAAACUUCUUACGUACGCAUGAGUUAUCGAUUGCUUUAUUAGGAUCGGU